rnacentral:rRNA from 1 species
ACAGGAGGACAGGUGGUGCAUGGUUGUCGUCAGCUCGUGUCGUGAGAUGUUGGUUAAGUCCCGCAACGAGCGCAACCCCUACGUUAGUUGCUAACGCGUGAAGGCGAGCACUCUAGACGAACUGCCGUUGACAAAACGGAGGAAGGUGGGAUGACGUCAAAUCAUCAUGCCCCUUAUGUUCUGGGCUACACACGUGCUACAAUGGCCGGUACAGACGGACGCAAAGCCGCGAGGUGGGAGCAAAUCCUAAAAAAGCCGGUCUCAGUUCGGAUUGCAGGCUGCAAUUCGCCUGCAUGAAGUCGGAAUCGCUAGUAAUCGCAGGUCAGCAUACUGCGGUGAAUACGUUCCCGGGCCUU